UGGUGGGUAGUUUGACUGGGGCGGUCUCCUCCUAAAGAGUAACGGAGGAGCACGAAGGUUGGCUAAUCCUGGUCGGACAUCAGGAGGUUAGUGCAAUGGCAUAAGCCAGCUUGACUGCGAGCGUGACGGCGCGAGCAGGUGCGAAAGCAGGUCAUAGUGAUCCGGUGGUUCUGAAUGGAAGGGCCAUCGCUCAACGGAUAAAAGGUACUCCGGGGAUAACAGGCUGAUACCGCCCAAGAGUUCAUAUCGACGGCGGUGUUUGGCACCUCGAUGUCGGCUCAUCACAUCCUGGGGCUGAAGUAGGUCCCAAGGGUAUGGCUGUUCGCCAUUUAAAGUGGUACGCGAGCUGGGUUUAGAACGUCGUGAGACAGUUCGGUCCCUAUCUGCCGUGGGCGCUGGAGAACUGAGGGGGGCUGCUCCUAGUACGAGAGGACCGGAGUGGACGCAUCACUGGUGUUCGGGUUGUCAUGCCAAUGGCACUGCCCGGUAGCUAAAUGCGGAAGAGAUAAGUGCUGAAAGCAUCUAAGCACGAAACUUGCCCCGAGAUGAGUUCUCCCUGACUCCUUGAGAGUCCUGAAGGAACGUUGAAGACGACGACGUUGAUAGGCCGGGUGUGUAAGCGCAGCGAUGCGUUGAGCUA
rnacentral:rRNA from 1 species